CUCAAUUAGGAAUGUGAUCCCAGGAAUUACAUACAAAUUAUUGUAAUUAUCGUGACAGGAAAUGGUACUCCUAGGAUAUGGUAGGAGGCAGAAAUUUAAAAGGGGGAAUAUAUUAUUUAAAAGUCAGGCGGCUUGUCUUUGUGGCCCUAAGAGUUGAACUGGGGAAAUUAAAGAGCUCAGAGCAUAAACUAGCAGCACAAGGAAGCCCCAAGCUAUCCACUCAGCAAAAAAAACCAGCACCAUGACUGGAAAGCCAGGCUUGGGGUUACUUAAUGGAAGCGAGUGUUUAAUCGUGUCAGGGCCACUGUGUGCCAUAGAUUUAACAUACCAUCACGAACAUAUUUUGCAACUUGGACAAUUAAUUCCACACCUGUACGGUCCCACAUCCAGCUUUAUAAAACAUGUCAUCCCCAUAAAAAUAAAUGUACGUGGCAAAUAGCCUUCUCUCCCGUUUGCCAAAAAAACAGAUUACUAUCAGGAUGGCCGAAUUAUCACCUGCUGUCAACAAAUGGAUUACCCAAGUUAAGGUCAUUAUUGUUGCUGUCAUUAUGGUGCGGAUUAAAGCUGGCGUGUAUGAACAGAGGGCCGAGAUGGAUGGGCCAGAAUCUAGCUGGGGCUGCUAUGAGACCUUUGUGAACUUCAUUGAGCAUGCAUGCAAGAUGAUGAAUUAAAUCUAACCAUGCAACCCUUCCAGUUUUUGUUUUUUGUUCUUUUUUUUUUUUAAAGAAACUGCUAAAUGAUGAUUUUAUUUUUCUUCUUUCUUACUAAAGGUUUUAGAUUAACUCAGCAUCCAUGAACCUCUAUACGUUGUCAUCUCCUGACAUUUUUCCCUCUGGAUUUUUAGAAAUAUAAUACAAGAUAAAAAUACACUUGGAUUUGAAAUGGCAAGGAGUAGAGAUAAUAAGAAUAUUUAUUAGUUUACUCCUUGGCUUUUUAUUUGCCUCUCUUUUUACUUAUGGAAUUUAUACUCCCCUCCCUUUUUAAGGAGAAUACCUUUAAAGUCUUUUGCAGUUAACUUUGACUUCCAUGUUUCUAUUUUAUUUAAUUAAACUUUUUGAAGGCAUUUUUCACCCUAUUUAAAUGAAACAUGACUGCGGAGGAGAUGAAUAUAAACAUCUUUGCAUAGCCGAUAUGUUGAAAAAUGCAUGACCACUUAAAUGUCACAACUCCGCGGAGCCUUUUCUUUUCAUUCUUGCGCUGUUGAAUUUUAAGGACAAAUUGUACUUCACAUUUCUUGCGUUGCUUAAAUCAGGUGGUGCUUCUGGGGUAGGAAUGCAUUCUGUGAGGAGCCUGCUGGAUCUCAGGGCUUCUCCUUCAAUCUCCUCUCCUCCCCUUUUCCUCCCAACCUUCCUCUUUGCCACUGCUCUUCUUAUCCUGCUACCCGCCCCCCACCCCCAGCCCCACUUUCUACCUCUUCCUCUGUAUUUCCGUUUCCACUCUUGGCAAAUAGCCUGGUCAGAGGGGAUGACAGAUAUGAGGCUGGCCUUGGCCUGCACCAGCAAGCUGCACUCUCUGGGCUUUGGUCCUUCCUCCUAUCUCUUCUGCCUCCAGGGCCGGAGACUGAGUUGCCCCAUUCUCCCAGGCUUAGCCAGCCUUAGGAAUGAAGUUUGUUGCUGCUGGCCCUGCCCUUGGCCCGGCCCAUGGCCCCUCCUGUGGUCCUGCCCCUGCUCAUUGACUUGCUUUGGAAGCAAGGCUGCAGUAGCCUAGACUCUGAGAAUGAAGUAAGGUCUGGUUCAGAUGUCCUACCCACAGGAUCUCACAGCAGGAGCAGGGCAGGGGAAUACUAAUCGGAAAAGGAAGUGAAAGGACACAGAAGAAAUUAGGUAAUUAUAGCGAGAAUAAAUCAAACAGUGUCAGGAUAGGGGAAGUGGGUCAGGGAACCUGUGCUGAGCAAACAGUGCAGGUGAAACCCUCCCAGGACUACGGAGUCUGUGUUUGUCCUUUGCUGCAUACAGUUGCAACUGUCCCACAGUUUCUGGCCCGGAAUUGACCACUGUUCAAAGGAACUGUGAAGUUGACAUGAUCUCAGAUCUUAGCUUCAUGUUGCUCUAGAUUUCUUGGCAAUC
rnacentral:lncRNA from 1 species